rnacentral:rRNA from 1 species
GUACGGGGGGGCAAGCGGUUGUUCGUGAAUUACUGGGGCGUAAAGGGCUCGGUAGGCGGCCAACUAAGUCAGACGUGAAAUCCCUCGGGCUUAACCGGGGACUGCGUCUGAUACUGGAUGGCUUGAGUUUGGGAGAGGAUGCGGAAUUCCAGGUGUAGGCGGUGAAAUGCGUAGAUAUCUGGAGGAACACCGGUGGCGAAGGCGGCAUCCUGGACCAACACUGACGCUGAGUGAGCGAAAGCCAGGGGAGCAAACGG